rnacentral:rRNA from 1 species
CCCUUAGAUGUCCUGGGCUGCACGCGCGCUACACUGAUGUGUCCAGUAAGCACCUAACCUCUUCCGAAAGGAACGGGUAACCUUUGCAAAGCACAUCGUGAUGGGGAUAGAUUAUUGCAAUUAUUAGUCUUGAACGAGGAAUUCCUAGUAAGCACAAGUCAUCAGCUUGUGUUGAUUACGUCCCUGCCCUUUGUACACACCGCCCGUCGCUCCUACCGAUUGAAUGGCUUAGUGAGCCUUUGGGAUUGGCAGCCAACACCGGCAACGGUAGCUGGCCGCCGAAAACUUAUGCAAACUUGGUCAUUUAGAGGAAGUAAAAGUCGUAACA